ACACCCCCCCCCCCCCCCCCCUCCACCCCACUUCACUUCACACGUGUAGACAAAGGGAGCCAUCAACACAGCCAGCAGAGCAGCACCAACACGACUUCUUCCCCCACAGUCCAGCUUCCAACUAACUUCAGCCAGGAGCCCGGAUCUCCUCAGAGCCCGCAGAUCUAUGGGACCCAGAAGAAAACUUAAUGACGAUCGGGACACCUGUGUUCAACUUUUGGAUUUUGGAUAAUAAUGACUUUUGCACGGCAGCACUGCUAGGAUUACUCUUCCUGAUUGGGAUACUGCUUUUCUAUUGGAUUACUUUACCAUUUCUACACACCAAAUAGAUGCCAAUCUCGGAUCUUUACAUCAGGAGAGCCCGGAGAGCCCAGUUUACCCUUUCAAUCAAACAAAUGACAUUUGCAGCCGGCCUGAACGGAUGCGUACAUGUCCCGCACAGACAAGACUGAAGGAAGCCCUGAUGAGAGCUUCAGACUGAAGAAGAGCCAUCUGUAACAAGGAUUUCCUACAUAAUGCUGAUGCAAAUGUAUAGCAGAUUGUCAAUUUUCAGAUUUAGGAUUAAUAAAUAUGAUUCAUUAUGAACUUCA